rnacentral:ncRNA from 1 species
CAACCUCAACUCAUAUGGGACUACCCCCUGAAUUUAAGCAUAUUAAUUAGGGGAGGAAAAGAAACUAACAAGGAUUUUCUUAGUAGCGGCGAGCGAAAAGAAAUCAGUUCAGCACUAAGUCACUUUGUCUAUAUGGCAAAUGUGAGAUGCAGUGUACGGAACAUCAGCAUUCUACUAUGACAAGUUAACGAUUUUAAGUCCUUCUUAAGUGAGGCCAUCUACCCAUACAGGGUGCCCGGCCCGUAUAACGUUUAAUGAUUACUAGAUGGUGUUUCCAAAGACUCGUGUUGCCUUGAUAGUGCAGCACUAAAGGGAGUUGUAAACUCCAUCUAAUACUCAUUUUCACCAUGGAGACCGAUAGUACACAAGGUCCGUGAGGGGACAGUUGUAAAGAACUCUGGAUAGAGAGUUAAUAUU